CGGAUGGAAGUGCUAGUCUAAGGUCGUAGGAGGUUAUACAGGCAAAUCCGUAUAACAAUACUCCGAGAACUGAAAGGCUUUUUGAAGUCUUCGGAUGGAUAGAAGAACCCCUGAUGCCGUCGAGCCAAGAAAAGUUUCUAAGUUUAGCUAAUGUUGCCCGUACCGUAAACCGACACAGGUGGGUGGGAUGAGUAUUCUAAGGCGCGUGGAAGAACUCUCUUUAAGGAACUCUGCAAAAUAGCACCGUAUCUUCGGUAUAAGGUGUGGUUAGCUUCGUACUAGGAUUUACUCCGAAAGCGAAGAAACUUACAACAAAGAGUCCCUCCCGACUGUUUACCAAAAACACAGCACUCUGCUAACUCGUAAGAGGAUGUAUAGGGUGUGACGCCUGCCCGGUGCUCGAAGGUUAAUUGAUGGGGUUAGCAUUAGCGAAGCUCUUGAUCGAAGCCCGAGUAAACGGCGGCCGUAACUAUAACGGUCCUAAGGUAGCGAAAUUCCUUGUCGGUUAAAUACCGACCUGCAUGAAUGGCGUAACGAGAUGGGAGCUGUCUCAAAGAGGGAUCCAGUGAAAUUGUAGUGGAGGUGAAAAUUCCUCCUACCCGCGGCAAGACGGAAAGACCCCGUGGACCUUUACUACAGCUUGACACUGCUACUUGGAUAAGAAUGUGCAGGAUAGGUGGGAGGCUUUGAGUAUAUGACGCCAGUUGUAUAUGAGCCAUUGUUGAGAUACCACUCUUUCUUAUUUGGGUAGCUAACCAGCUUGAGUUAUCCUCAAGUGGGACAAUGUCUGGUGGGUAGUUUGACUGGGGCGGUCGCCUCCCAAAUAAUAACGGAGGCUUACAAAGGUUGGCUCAGAACGGUUGGAAAUCGUUCGUAGAGUAUAAAGGUAUAAGCCAGCUUAACUGCAAGACAUACAAGUCAAGCAGAGACGAAAGUCGGUCUUAGUGAUCCGGUGGUUCUGUGUGGAAGGGCCAUCGCUCAAAGGAUAAAAGGUACCCCGGGGAUAACAGGCUGAUCUCCCCCAAGAGCUCACAUCGACGGGGAGGUUUGGCACCUCGAUGUCGGCUCAUCGCAUCCUGGGGCUGGAGCAGGUCCCAAGGGUAUGGCUGUUCGCCAUUUAAAGCGGUACGCGAGCUGGGUUCAGAACGUCGUGAGACAGUUCGGUCCCUAUCUGCCGUGGGCGUAAGAAGAUUGAAGAGAUUUGACCCUAGUACGAGAGGACCGGGUUGAACAAACCACUGGUGUAGCUGUUGUUCUGCCAAGAGCAUCGCAGCGUAGCUAAGUUUGGAAAGGAUAAACGCUGAAAGCAUCUAAGCGUGAAGCCAACUCUAAGAUGAAUCUUCUCUAAGCUCUCUAGAAGACUACUAGUUUGAUAGGCUGGGUGUGUAAUGGAUGAAAGUCCUUUAGCUGACCAGUACUAAUAGAGCGUUUGGCUUAUCUUU
rnacentral:rRNA from 1 species